CGGGAUCCAGGUGGCCCGCCGGCCGGCUCAGUCCACCUCCCCGCUCCCGGCCUCGCGCCCCACCCCUUGGAUGAGAAAACUGAAACUGAGAGGGGACGUGACUGAUCCAACGCCCAACCCAGAGCUGGAUCACAAGGAAGACUGGAAGCUCCACUCCCCCAUGGAGCUUCCCUGUUACCAGAGGACACAAACACACAUCUGCAUGUUGAUCUGAGAGCCCUGUGUGGAGAGGAACUAGGCCCCCAGCCAACAACCAGCAGUGACUCACUGUGAGAGAGUGAAUCAUCUUGGAAGUGGAUCCUAAGCCCCAAUAGAGACUUCAGAUGAAACUGCAACCCUGGCUGACAUCUGACUGCAGUGGCAUAAGAAACCCUUAUGUCAGAAUCACCCUGCAAAGCCCAAAUUCUUGACCCACCAAGUGAAAGAGAAUAAAUGACGA
rnacentral:lncRNA from 1 species